GGGUGGUUAGCUCAGUUGGUAGAGCGUUGCAUUCACAUUGCAAAGGUCACUGGUUCGAGCCCAGUACUACCCA
rnacentral:tRNA from 1 species